rnacentral:rRNA from 1 species
AACUGAAGAGUUUGAUCAUGGCUCAGAUUGAACGCUGGCGGCAGGCUUAACACAUGCAAGUCGAGCGGGGGAAGGUAGCUUGCUACUGGACCUAGCGGCGGACGGGGGAGUAAUGCUUAGGAAUCUGCCUAUUAGUGGGGGACAACAUCUCGAAAGGGAUGCUAAUACCGCAUACGUCCUACGGGAGAAAGCAGGGGAUCUUCGGACCUUGCGCUAAUAGAUGAGCCUAAGUCG